rnacentral:rRNA from 1 species
CCUACGGGUGGCAGCAGUGGGGAAUAUUGCGCAAUGGGCGAAAGCCUGACGCAGCGACGCCGCGUGAGGGAUGAAGGUCUUCGGAUCGUAAACCUCUGUCAGCAGGGAAGAACGGUCACUGUGCUAAUCAGCAGUGAAUUGACGGUACCUGCAAAGGAAGCACCGGCUAACUCCGUGCCAGCAGCCGCGGUAAUACGUAGGGAGCAAGCGUUAUCCGGAUUUAUUGGGUGUAAAGGGUGCGUAGACGGAGAAGCAAGUUAGUUGUGAAAUCCCUCGGCUUAACUGAGGAACUGCAACUAAAACUACUUCCCUUGAGUACUGGAGAGGAAAGUGGAAUUCCUAGUGUAGCGGUGAAAUGCGUAGAUAUUAGGAGGAACACCAGUGGCGAAGGCGACUUUCUGGACAGUAACUGACGUUGAGGCACGAAAGUGUGGGGAGCAAACAGGAUUAGAUACCCCAGUAGUC